rnacentral:rRNA from 1 species
UGUGUUAAGGUAGCAUAAUAAUUUGUUUUUUAAUUGAGAACUAGGAUAAAAGAGUUAAUAACAUUUUAAACUAUUUAAGAAUUUUUAGAGAAGUUAAUAUUCGUGUUAAAAAGCACGAUUUUUUAAAAAGACGAUAAGUCCCUAUAAAACUUUAUUUGUUUUUGGUUUUAGAACUGGGGCGUAUGCGGGCCGAUGUGAAUUGAGCUGGGGCGGCAACUAUUUAAUAACUAUAGUAAAAUUCCCGCCAGCAGGCGAACGGAAAGAACUAAGAGUCUAAAAGUUAGAAAAAGUUACUUUAGGGGUAACAGCACAAUUUUUUCUUAUAGGCCGGAUAGAAGAAAAAGACUUGUGACCUCGAUGUUGAAUUGAGGGGCCUCUUUUAAGUAGCCAUAUUUUUUUUGAAAUCUGUUCGAUUUUUAAUUCCUC